rnacentral:lncRNA from 1 species
UUUUCCACAAAGCGUCGGCAACAGAGACGUCGCCGUUGGAGCAGUUGUUGUUGUAACUGUCGACGGUGGUUGAAGCGGAAGAUUUUUGGCGGUGGGGUCGCGGGUUAUGACGGAGAGGGUUACGAAGGUUGUGGUUUUCGUGUGAGGUCGAGAUGAUGGUGAAUGAAGAGGACGAUGAAGAUGAGCGUGAGGGUUUUGAGCGGUGUGAGCGAAGGUGAUGGGAACGGCGGCGUCUAGGGUUUUGACGAAGCAGAUGAAUGUUGGCUUGGGUUGAUUUUAGGGUUUUUUGUGGUUUUUUGUGAGAGAAAAUGAGUGUGAAUGGUGAGCGAGGGAGAGUGUGAGAGAUGAGUCUGAGUGAAUAGUGAAUGACUUUUAUUACCCUUUUUUUUGUCAUUUUCUUUUUCUUUCGUACGAGAGAGAGGAGGUAGUUGUAGUGGAAUGGUAGUGGAGCAGACAGUGGGUGGAGGAGAAUGAGAGACGUUGGAGUAUUUUGAAUUUUGUUUUUAUUAUUUAUUUUUUGUUUUUUCUGUUUUAUGAAGAAAAGAGAAUCCAAUGUUAACAUAUAUAUACAUAAUUAUUAAAUAAAUAAAAAACUAAUUAAUAUUUUAAAAANAGCAGAGAUCUGGCCAACUAAAACAUUAUCAAAAAUCAUUGACGCCGACAAACCAGAAUACUCGCUCCGGUUUGUAAUCGAAACAGAUUCCAAAUCGGUAAUAAAAAAAUCGAAUUGAAACAGCCCAGAAGCGCAAAGCGAUGGUCCCCAUCACCCUUAUCUAAAAAAAAACUAUGAUUUUUUAAACAAGAUUGUAACGAGAAACGUAAUUAACCCAACCACGGGGGAGGAGCGCAUACGUUACUUUUUAUUGAAAAUUAAUUACAGCAAAUCCCCGAAUCAUAAAUGCCACAAUAACCUAGCAAACAACAAGACAUUGUCAAGCGAACACGCCACAUGUCGCACAUGAACAGCUUUUUGGAUAAACAAUUUAUAGACAAUAUGAAAUAAUGAAAAAUUUAUAUAAUACAUCUUGGCAGCACAUACAUUGUUUGUCAUAACGAUUCAAGCAAACCUGUAUUUAAAAAUCUUGCAACAACAAAACCAGAGGGACAAACGAAAUGAGAAAUUGGAAAAUCGAAGACACCCAAUUAAUUACUUGAUUAAAGUAUUCUCGAAAACAACCGGGUUUGAGCAAAACUUUAACAGAAAAUAACCAGUAAACAUCACAAAAGAAUCAGACACAACGGUGACGGAAACCAAAACAGUUAAGAUAACUUUCUUUGCUAUGCUGCCACCGACAGAACUGGUCAUGGGACGGGGCCUGUCAAGCCUAUCGUUUUGGACCUGAUCGACGAAAGCUAGUGCGUAUUGUUUCUUUAGUCGGCGGCGGCGUUUACGGUGAUAACGGGUUUUGCUAUGAGUGCUUGACGGUCGAAACAAGUGGUGAGCUUUCCAGCCAAUCCACAAGCCUGAAGCGAAACUCGUCGUCCUGUCCCUGCUUCGAUUUUUGAAUCUAUGAACAAGAAAAUCUGCCUUUGCCGUUUGCGAGACCGAAAUCGCGAAAAGACGAAUCCGACCUGUAAAAUAAGAGAUAAAAUGUCAAACACAUUCACAACAAUAAACAUCAUGACUUUUCCUACAAGGUCGAGCAGUAGAGAACCGUCGCGCUGUGCAGUUGAAUUGUUGAAUGCGAACGGUGGUUAAGCGGAAGAUUUUUGGCGGUGGGGUGCGGGUUAUGAACGAGAGGGUUUACAAGGUGUGUUUUCGUGUGAGGUCGAGAUGAUGGUGAAUGAAGAGGACUAUGUAAGAUGAGCGUGAAGGUUUUGAGGCGGUGUGAGCGAAGGUGAUGGGAACG